rnacentral:misc_RNA from 1 species
UCCCUGUUAACCAGGGCAGUCUCGCAUGAGAAAUAUAACAUACGAUGAGGGUUGCGCUCGUUGACGGACUUAACCGAACAUUUCACAACACGAGCUGACGACAGCCAUGCAGCACCUGUCAUCUGGUUCCCUUGCGGGCACAGUCCUAUUUCUAGGACUUUCCAGAGAUGUCAAGCCUCGGUAAGGUUUUUCGUUUAGUGUCGAAUUAAACCACACGUUCCACCGCUUGUGCGGGUCCCCGUCAAUUCCUUUGAGUUUUAGCCUUGCGACCGUACUCCCCAGGCGGAUCACUUAACGCGUUAGCUACACUACUCAGGGGGUCGACUCCCCGAACAGCUAGUGAUCAUCGUUUACGGCGUGGACUAC